GACGGAGGGUGCUAGCGUUGUUCGGAAUCACGUGGCGUAAAGGGCGCGUAGGCGGCCUCAGGUGUCGGAUGUGAAAGCCCGGGGCUCAACCCCGGAGGUGCAUCCGAAACUCUGGGGCUGGAGGUCGGAAGAGGAGGGUGGAAUACCCAGUGUAGAGGUGAAAUUCGUAGAUAUUGGGUGGAACACCGGUGGCGAAAGCGGCUCUCUGGUCCGGACCUGACGCUGAGGCGCGAAAGCGUGGGGAGCAAACAGG
rnacentral:rRNA from 1 species